ensembl:lncRNA
UGUCUUUAUCUUCCCAACAAGAUUUUUGUCAAAAUAAUUGUGAUCGUGCAGACAACAGACCUCAGCUUUCUGCUUGAAUCCAGCACACAGUGACUACACUGGAAGCAUGCAGAAUGGUGAGGAGCAGGAGAAAUGCAGUUUUGUACUACCUCUUCUACCAUCUAAAGAACCUGAAGGUGCACAAAUCCAUAGGACCCAACAAGAACUAUCCAUGAGUUAUGAGGGAAGUGGCUGAAGAUGCCAAGCUGCUAUUCAUCAUAUUUGAAAGGUCAUGGCAGUCUAGUGAAGUUCCCACCAACUGGAAAAGGGGAAACAUAAUCCCCAUUUUCAAGAAGGAAAAAAAGAAGAUCCAGGGAGCUAGAGGCCAGUCAGUCUCACCACUGUGCCUGGCAAGAUCAUGAAACAGAUCCUCCUGAAGGCUCUACUAAGGCACAUGGGAAAUAAAGACAAGGUGACUCGUGGUAACCAACGUGACUUCACCAAGGAUAAGUCAUGCCUGACAGACAUGGUGGCCUUUUAUGAUGGAGUUACAGCAUCAAUGUAUAAAGGAAAAGUAAAUGAUGUCAUCUACCUGGACUUGUGCAAAGCAUUUGACACUGUCCCACACAACAUCCUGGUCAUCAAAUUGGAAGAAAAUAAAUUUGAUGGAUGGACUACUCACUGAAUAAGGGAUUGGCUGGAUGGUUGCACUCAGAAAGUUGUGGUCAAUAGCUCAGUUUCCAAGCGGAGAUUGAUGAUGAGAUGAGUGGCGUUCCUCAGGGAUUGGUGUUGGGAUUGGUAUUAUAUAAUAUCUUUGUAGGCAACAUGGACAGUUGGAUUGCACCCUCAGCAAGUUUGCAGGUGACAUCAAGCUGAGUUGUAUAGUUAACACGCUAGAGGGAAGGAAUGCCAUUCAGAGGGACCUGGACAGGCUUGAGAGGUGGGCCCAUGCCAACCUCAUGAAGUUCAAAGAGGUGAAGUCCUACACCUGGGUCAAGGCACUCUCAAGCACAGAUACAGGUUGGGUGGAAAAUGGCUUGAGAGCAGCCCUGAAAAGAAGGAUUUGACUGUGUGAUUGAUGAAAGAUUCAACAAGAGCUGGCAAUGUGCACUUCCAGCCCAGAAGGCCAACUGUAUCCUGGGUUGCAUCAAGAAAAGUAUGACCUGGAAGUCAAAGGAGGUGAUUCUGACGCUCUACUCUGUGGAAAGACCUCACCUAGAGUACUGCAUCUGGUUCUGGAGCUCCCAGCACAAGAAGGACAUGGAGUUCUUUGAGCAGGUUCAGAGGAGGGCCACGAAGAUGAUCAGAGGGCUGGAGCACCUCCUCUACGCUCCAUAGCCUGGAGAAGAGAAGGCUCUGAAGAAGAUUUUGUAGCAGCCUUCCAGUACUUGAAAGGGGCCUACAGGAAAGCUGGGGAGGGACUUUUUAGAAGGGCCAGUAGCAUCAGGAAAAGUGGAAAUAGUUUUAAGCUGGAAGGGUGUGGAUUUAGACUAGAUAUUAGGAAGAAAUUAUUUACUGUGAGGGUGGUGAAGUGCUGGAACAGGUUGCCCAGUGAGGUUGUGAAUGCCCUCUCCUUAGAAACAUUCAAGGUCAGGUUGAAUGGGACUUCAAGCAACCUGGUCCAGACAGAGGUGUCCCUGCCUAUAGCAAGUGUGUUGGAACUAGGUGAUACUAAAGGUCCCUUCCAACCCAAAUCAUUCUAUGAUUCUAUGAUUAAAGCCUAUGAAUUUUAAACUGGAAUUUGGAAUCCUGCCAUUAAAUAAUCUUAAACAAGAUGGUAUGCUAUUUGUUGAAUCAAUGGAGUUUUAAUGUCAGUAGCAUUCUUCUUGUGAAAUAUCUUUGUUUUGUUGCUCUGAGCAGAAAUCAGUUCAAUCUGAAAUUAAGAUGGGAGGAAGCAAAAACCAAAAAAGAGCAUUCUGGUGUAUUUCUUGAUAAUCUACUGUCAAUUACCACUGGUUUUACAUAAAUUAGUGUGUGAAUUGUUAUGCCAGUGCAAAUGUCACAAAGAUGAAAACCAUCAGUUCUCCUUCAUCCUUUUUGUGAAAUAAUUUGUGACCCUCAAUCUCUCCUCCCAGAGGUGUGACCUAUUUCUCUUGUUACUGCAAGGCAGAUUGUCAGUGCCAGUUUUCCAGAGACAGAAGAGGUUCUAUGCACAGUCAGUGUAAAGGGCUGUGCAAAGGAUCCCCCAUUUAACAGUGUAAACUUGUCAGGAAGAAAAGAAGUGGGUACAGGUAACUUAACACCUGAAUUUUGAGCAAUGACUUGUGUAUCCAAAUUGUAUUGGUAACCCUUUCUAUGCAAUUUCCAGGUGCUUAAGGAUGCCCUCGGUACUGUCAACAUCUUCCUGUGGGGAUGACUAGAGGCUAUGAAGCCUCAUUUCAGGAUUUUGCUUACAGUGUUUUAUUGCUGCAGUGGGCUGAAUUAAAUUCCAGCAUCCAUAAUGUGUGGUUUGUAAUGUAAGGGAAAGCAAGUACACUACACUUGUGAGAUAUAACAGGCAUAUUUAAGCAUUUUGAUUUUAAACAUUCAGUCUUUCAUUGGCUAGCUUGAAAAGAGGUUACAGAACUUAUCAUUUCAUACAGAGACUAAGUUUAGAAGUUGAAAGCAUGUUAUAACUUAUCAUAUGUAAUACUUCUCAAAUACUAUGCCAGUAAGCUUGGUUUAAAAACAUAAUAGAACAGAUUCUUAGCAGGAUAAGGUAGCUACAAAUACAGUAGCACAGCUGCAGUAUUCUUGAACGAGCAACAUAGCAACAUACAUAAAUGUCACAAGUUAGUUUGGUUGCGAAGCUUCGCAGCAUUCUUCAAACUGUGAUUACAGUGCAACAAAGGAUGCUGUACUCUCCAGACAAGACUGGGUGAUGCAGUGGUGAUGCAGUGCAUUUACAUCUGGGAAAGUUAUAAAGUACAGAGCAUAAGGAUUUUGGAUCCUCUUACUGCUAAGUUAUUAGGAUGUCAACCAGUUAAAC